UACGUAGGGUGCGAGCGUUAAUCGGAAUUACUGGGCGUAAAGCGCGUGUAGGCGGUCUCGCAAGUCGGAUGUGAAAGCCCAGGGCUCAACCCUGGAAGUGCACUCGAUACUGCGAGGCUAGAGUCCCGGAGAGGAUGGUGGAACUCUCGGUGUAGAGGUGAAAUUCGUAGAUAUCGAGAAGAACACCGGUGGCGAAGGCGGCCAUCUGGACGGUGACUGACGCUGAGACGCGGAAAGCGUGGGGAGCAAACAGG
rnacentral:rRNA from 1 species